GAUGAACGCUGGCGGCGUGCCUAAUACAUGCAAGUCGAGCGAAUGGAUUGAGAGCUUGCUCUUAUGAAGUUAGCGGCGGACGGGUGAGUAACACGUGGGUAACCUGCCCAUAAGACUAGGAUAACUCCGGGAAACCGGGGCUAAUACCGGAUAACAUUUUGAACCGCAUGGUUCGAAAUUGAAAGGCGGCGUCGGCUGUCACCUAUGGAUGGACCCGCGUCGAAUUAGCUAGUUGGUGAGGUAACGGCUCACCAAGGCAACGAUGCGUAGCCGAACUGAGAGGGUGAUCGGCCACACUGGGACUGAGACACGGCCCAGACUCCUACGGGAGGCAGCAGUAGGGAAUCUUCCGCAAUGGACGAAAGUCUGACGGAGCAACGCCGCGUGAGUGAUGAAGGCUUUCGGGUCGUAAAACUCUGUUGUUAGGGAAGAACAAGUGCUAGUUGAAUAAGCUAGCACCUUGACGGUACCUAACCAGAAAGCCACGGCUAACUACGUGCCAGCCGCCGCCGUAA
rnacentral:rRNA from 1 species